UGGCCUAACACAUGCAAGUCGAGGGGUAGAAGGAGCUUGCUCCUUUGAGACACGGCGCACGGGUGCGUAACGCGUAUGCAAUCUACCUUUUACAGAGGGAUAGCCCAGAGAAAUUUGGAUUAAUACCUCAUAGUAUAUAACCUUCGCAUGUUGGUUAUAUUAAAGUUCCAACGGUAAAAGAUGAGCAUGCGUCCUAUUAGCUAGUUGGUGUGGUAACGGCACACCAAGGCAACGAUAGGUAGGGGUCCUGAGAGGGAGAUCCCCCACACUGGUACUGAGACACGGACCAGACUCCUACGGGAGGCAGCAGUGAGGAGUAUUGGACAAUGGGCGCAAGCCUUAUGAAGGGCAUGCCGCGUGCAGGAAGACGGUCCUAUGGACUUGAUUGUGCUUUUUACGGGAAGAAACACUCCUACGGUAGGAGCUGAC
rnacentral:rRNA from 1 species